rnacentral:misc_RNA from 1 species
CAUCGAAACUUCUAACGCAUCUUGCGCUCCCGGGAUAUGCCUGGGAGCAUGCUUGUCGGGGAGGAGGAGGCGAAAACUCGCCCACAGCUUUGGGUUCGAUCUCGACCUCAAGGCGGUGGAGCGGAAUAUGAGUGUUCCGGGGAGCGGUAGUGCGGUGUGUAUUUUGUACAUGCCUCCUGCUCGUCCCCUGAGUCCACCCAAGCCUAGAGAGCUACCGAUUGUCCGGGCCCCGUUGUCUUUGCGGCGCUGUAGACAGGUCCACCUUGCGUCCUCCGGAAGAUACACAGUUGAUACCUUCGCAACCUCGCCCCCUCUCRCGGGGCGGGGCAGGGCGGAGGAGACACUGACGCCGGGGAUGUGCGCGGGUUACCUUGAGGCGUCGCUGGAGGCAAAUUCACCUUGCGUCCUCCGGACGAUCCGUUGUUGACGGCGCCCCCUAUCGCGGGGCGGGGACACGACGGGUCGCCGGGGAUGUGCGCGGGUGUCCUUGAGGCUUGGGACGGUAGGUAGUCUCGAGAGUACCGGUGAGAGGCCGGUGAUUUAUGAUUAUGCCAUACCCCCGAUCAAGCAAGAAGACCCGCUGAAUUUAAGCAUAUACUAAGCGGAG